rnacentral:rRNA from 1 species
CGGGGCUUAAUGUCUUGUAAUUGGAAUGAUGGGAAUUUAAACCUCUUCCAGAGUAUCAAUUGGAGGGCAAGUCUGGUGCCAGCAGCCGCGGUAAUUCCAGCUCCAAUAGCGUAUAUUAAAAUUGUUGCAGUUAAAAAGCUCGUAGUUGAAUUUCUGCUACAUUGCCUAUUCUCCUUUACGAGUUUGGGUCUUUUGUGGCUUAUCUGGGUUCGCUUGCGUUCCCGGUGUUUUACUUUGAGAAAAUUAGAGUGCUCAAAGCAGGCUUUUGCCUUGAAUAGUUUAGCAUGGAAUAAUAAAGUAGGACUUUGGUUCUAUUUUGUUGGUUUUAGGUACCAAAGUAAUGGUUAAUAGGAACAGUUGGGGGCAUUCGUAUUUAACUGUCAGAGGUGAAAUUCUUAGAUUUGUUAAAGACGAA